UGGGGAAUCGUGGGCAAUGGGCGAAAGCCUGACCCCGCGACGCCGCGUGGAGGAAGAAGCCCUUCGGGGUGUAAACUCCUGUCAGGGGGGAAGAUGCUCACAGGGGUGAACAAUCUCUGUGGGUGACUGUACCCCCAGAGGAAGGGACGGCUAACUACGUGCCAGCAGCCGCGGUAAUACGUAGGUCCCGAGCGUUGCGCGAAUU
rnacentral:rRNA from 1 species